CACGUGUGACCCCACACGUCCUCAUGCGACCCCAUGUCUGACCCCACGUGUCCUCGUGCGACCCCAUAGGGCCACGUGUGACCCCACACGUCCUCGUGCGACCCACACGGUCACGUGACCCCACAGCACCAGCACGGUGCAUGGUGGCCUGGGUUGCGUUGCACCAUGGCGUCCGUCGUGUUGCACAGCUGCUGUGUCACACUACUGAGUCACACGAUGGCAUCGCACCACGGUUGUGUCAUACAACUGCAUCCCACCGUUGUGCCGCACCGCCGCCGCAUCGCACGACUGUCAUGUCCCAGCGCCGCCACGUCGCACCACGGUGGUGUUGCACGAUGGUGUCUGUGUCGCACCACGGCUGUGUUGCACGAUGGCAUCAAUUGCACCACCGCCGCGUUGCACCACGGUUGUGUUGCACGAUGGCGUCCGCGUCGCACCACGGUUGCGUUGCAUGUCGUCGUCCCUUGCACCACCGCCGUGUCGCACCACGGUCGUGCGUUGCACGAUCGCGUCCCGUCGUGUCGCACCGCCCUCGUGUCGCACGACGGUGCUCGUGUCACACGCCGCUGUCGCCGCUGUCGCCGCUGUGGGCGCUGUCCCCGCUCAGGCUCUGCCACUGUGGGGCACGGGGACGCGGGCGCUAUGGGGCAGCCCCACACCUGGGACCGACCCCUGCCCCACACCUCCACCUGUGCUGCCCCCCGGCCCCAUAGCUGUGCCCCAUAGCGCCCCCCCGGCCCCAUAGCUGUGCACCAUAGUGCCCCCCCAGCCCCACAGCUGUGCCCCACAGCAGCCCCUGCCCCACAGCUGUGCCCCACAG
rnacentral:lncRNA from 1 species